UCAGUCUCAGCCCACUCCCAUGCAUGCUGGAUAGGGUUCCCCGCCACCCUCACUGGUCGCCACCGCCAUCGGUUUCCCCUACAUGGCCGGAGGAUAGGCCAUCCCGCCGGUCCAUUCCCACCCCACCUAGAGGGAGGAGACCGACCAGUUGCACCUCCCCGCUGGUCACCGCCCGCCACCCCAAGGAUCAAGGCCGGCCGCGCUGGUCCCCGUUGGUCGCUGCUCCGGAUCCAGACCGCCCACCGCCCUGCCCCCGUCAGCCCGGUCUAUUUCCCACCAGAUCCCAUCUUCGCAACAGUCCGACGCGCCUUCUUCAAGGAGCUGCGACCCCAUGUCUCAGAGGAGCUAGCCCCGACGCCAUUGAUGCCCGAGCGACGCUCCCAAGCUAGGAGCGGCACCAGGACGACCACACCCCCGAAGCCUAAAUUGCAAGUUGUUUCAUCGCUAUGUGGGUCUGGUGUUCGACGACCUCCCCGUGUGUUCGUGCUAACGAGACAUUGCAAAUGAUCUUUAAUUUGGUGCAACAUAACUCCCGACAAGCAUCGACGUGUGCCAUUGGGGCGAGCAAGAACCCUGAUCCUCCUCCGUCAGCCACUACCGCGAGCAAGAACCUUGAUCCUUCACCUACGGGUUGAAGAUUUGCUUCAGAUCACGGAAGCUUGGGUUGAUGGAGUGCUUGUCUUUAGUUUUUGU